UGCUGCUGCUGGUUCAUAUUCUUGAUGAAACCUACUGUGCGUUGCUACUCUUACUACUGUCUGAAUUUCUUUCUCUUUCAAGUUGCAGGAUGUCUUCUGCUGUUAUGUGAUCCUUGGUUUCAGUCUCUUAGAUGAUGAUGACUCCAGAAUAGUGUUGCUUUUCCAUCCCAAUCUUACAUUCUGAUGGUUUUUGUGUCCUCUUCCAUGUCUAAUUUACCUUGCAUAUAUUUUCUCAGUGAAGGAUCAACAAAGGUGGCAUCUGAGGCAACAGAUAUAGGAAGAUCUGCCUUUUAUCCAGAUUCUAGUUUAUCAAACACCUUUGGGUUCAAGAUACAGGACAAGCAAGGCAGGAUGCACAGAUUUAACCAUGGAAACAAAGCAUGGGAGGAUCAAGAGAGAUGAACAUGAAGCAAGCUGAGCUCAAUGCAAAACUUGAUGCUGGAUUAAAACUUAUGUGAUCUGUUGUUUGAUGUGUGAUGUGAUGUGAUGCUGGAAAACUUGAGAUGUAUGAUGUAACAGCAUUCUAAUUUUGAAACUGAUUCUGUGGGCUGUUUUUUUAUAUGGCUCGUGUAUAAA